UUGUUUGUUACUGCCACGGUUACUGCCAAUAAUACUGGUUCAUAGUCAAUGGAACGCAAAUGCACCCAAUAAUCUGCGAACUUGUGCAACUAAAAUUCAGUAUCUACUUGAUUUGGAUUUACGAUAUUUGAUUCAGGAAUUUAGAAUCAACACGAUCAAGACUUGUUCUGUGGAUUGUGAACAGUUUUGAUCCGGUUGACAGCUGAUUCGCACGCGAAUUUUGUUAAUCCGUACGUUUCUUUAUAUUGAGUAUACCGAGUAUCAUGGAAUGUUAUAGAACGCGUUUUACAUCUUAUUUAAGAACAGUGUGUUCGAGUGAAAUACAGUCGGUUGGCGAUCUAGUUACGUCUGUGUGUCUUUAAUACAGAAAUCAUAUGGGAACUGUGCAUCAUCUCCUGAACUAGAACAGUGAUGGGUCUACUCGUAUACCACCCCAGCGAUAUCAUACGAACAAAUGGAUUAAGUAUCUACAUACCUUGGAUGUGCGUUGUUUCGUACACUGUCCUUUCUAUAGAGAAAUUUAACAGAAAUUGAAUGGGGAAUAUAAAAUUUAUCAACGGGAUAUUCUAAUUAGGAGAUUCAAAUCAAGAAAAUUUGCGUUCGAAAAUAUAUCAUAAGGAAAAUUAAGUUACUUAUUUUGAUUGUGGUUAUUGCGUGAACACUAAGUCUAAAUAUCUAAAGGAUGGCUUGCAGAUCCUUGCGAAAUUCUCUAUUAGAUAACAUAUUUAAUUUUUUCGGAUAGUUUCUAGGUAGAUAUAGUAUGGUUCUAGGUAUUGUUAUUACUGGCUUGUACAAAAUAAACAGUAUUUAAAGUAA